UCAAGUUACUAAGGGUGUAUGGGGGAUGUCUAGGCGUCGAGAGGCGAAGAAGGACGUGGCAGGCUGCGAUAAGCCCGGGGCAAGUGCCGAGCAACUGUUAAUCCCGGGAUCUCCGAAUGGGGCAACCCGUUGGGACUGGGCAACCAGAUCCCAUCACCUGCGGCUGAAUGCAUAGGCCGUAUGGGGCGAACGCAGGGAACUGAUACAUCUCAGUACCUGUAGGAAGAGAAAUCAACCGAGACUCCGUCAGUAGCGGCGAGCGAAAGCGGAUCAGCCCAAACCAGGGGGCUUGCUCCCUGGGGUUGCGGGCGCCAACAUCAGCAGAAGGACGGUUAGCUGAACGGUCUGGAAAGUCCGACCACAGAAGGUGAUGGUCCUGUAGGCGAAAACCCGAAUUCUGUGUUGGCGUACCAGAGUAGCACGGAGCUCGUGGAACUCUGUGUGAAGCUGGGGGGCCCACCCUCCAAGGCUAAGUACUCCUCGACGACCGAUAGUGGAAAGUAGCGCGAGCGAACGAUGAAAAGGACCCCUAUUAGGGGAGUUAAAAGAACCUGAAACCAUACACCUACAAGCUGUGGGAGCCCUAUGACGUUCCUUCGGGGGCGUAACGGGUGACCGCGUGCCUUUUGCAUAAUGAGCCGGCGAGUUACCGUUUGCGGCAAGGCUAAGCAUCUCCGGUGCGGAGCCGUAGCGAAAGCGAGUCUUAACAGGGCGAAUCAGUCGCAGGUGGUAGACGCGAAGCCAGGUGAUCUACCCAUGGCCAGGUUGAAAGGGAUGUAAAAAUCCCUGGAGGACCGAACUCACUAACGUUGAAAAGUUAGGGGAUGAGCUGUGGGGAGGAGUAAAAGUCUAAUCAAACCUGGAGAUAUCUCGUUCUCUCCGAAAUAGCUUUUGGGCUAGCCUUGAGCCACUCCUUUGCGGGGGUAGAGCUACUGAAUGGGGAUAGGGGACCACCAGUCUACCUACCCCAACCAAACUCCGAAUACCGCAAAGACUAUCUCAGGAGUCAGACGGCGAGCGAUAACGUCCGUCGUCAAGAGGGAAACAACCCAGAUCGCCAGCUAAGGUCCCGAAGUUGGGCUAAGUUCAUAAGGAAGUUGAAUUGCUGUGACAGCCAGGAUGUUGGCUUAGAAGCAGCCACCAUUUAAAAAGUGCGUAAUAGCUUACUGGUCGAGCAGUUUGGCGCCGAUAAUGAACGGGAAUAAGCCGAACACCGAAGCUGCGGAUUGGUCGGUCGAUGCGUCGACCUUCCAGUGGUAGGAGAGCGUAGCAGUCAGCAUUGAAGCGGUACGGUAACGAGCCGUGGAGCGGCUGCUAGUGAUUAUGCCGGCAUGAGUAACGAUAAAACAGGUGAGAAUCCUGUUCGCCGAAAGCCUAAGGUUUCCUGGGGAAGGGACAUCCGCCCAGGGUUAGUCGGCCCCUUAGUUGAGGCUGAAAGGCGUAGACGAUGGGCAGCAGGUUAAUAUUCCUGCACCAUGUCACCGGACGAAGGUCGUGACGCAUCUUCCAAGAGUAUCCCGUGAGUAGUCGUGCGGGUCCCGCAAGGGCGAGGUCAAAUUAGGAUACCGAAGUACUUGGCGAGGAUGCCGAGAAACAGCGGCUGUAGGUUGAAGGUGGCGUGACCGUACUAAAACUGACACAGGUAGGCGAGGAGAAUAUCCUCAGGCGCUCGAGAGAACGGUCCUUAAGGAACUAGGCAAAUUGACCCCGUAAGUUCGCGAUAAGGGGACCCUCCAGACACGUUUAAUUCAUUAGAUGUGGGCUGAGGGCACAGAAAAGUGGCUCUAGCGACUGUUUAUCAAAAACACAGUUCUCUGCUAACUCGCAAAGAGGAUGUAUAGAGAAUGACGCCUGCUCGGUGCCGGAAGGUUAAGUGGAAGGGUUAGCUCCUUCGGGGGCGAAGCUCCUAAAUGAAGCCCCGGUAAACGGCGGCCGUAACUAUGACGGUCCUAAGGUAGCGAAGUUCCUUGUCGGGUAAGUUCCGACGUGCAUGAACGGCGUAACGACUGGAGCACUGUCUCAAGGACCGACUCGGUGAAAUUGUACUUGUGGUGAAGAUACCACAUACCCGCGGCAAGACGGAAAGACCCCGUGAACCUUUACUGUAUCCUGGUAUUGAUGCCUGGCAUGGCUUGCGUAGGAUAGGUGGGAGGCGUUGAAGUUCGGAUCUCGGUCCGGACGGAGCCAACCUUGAAAUACCACCCUUGGCAUGUUAGUCACCUAACCGUGACCCGUGAAUCCGGGCAUGGGACAGUGCUAGGUGGGCAGUUUGACUGGGGCGGUCUCCUCCAAAAAGGUAACGGAGGAGUUCAAAGGUACACUCAGCGUGGUUGGCAAUCACGUUUAGAGCGCAAGGGUACAAGUGUGCUUAACUGCGAGACCGAUUGGUCGAGCAGGUGCGAAAGCAGGACCUAGUGAUCCGGCGAUCCCGUGUGGAAGGGUCGUCGCUCAACAGAUAAAAGGUACUCCGGGGAUAACAGGCUGAUCUCCACCGAGCGUUCAUAGCGGCGUGGAGGUUUGGCACAUCGAUGUCGGCUCAUCACAUCCUGGGGCUGAAGGCGGUCCCAAGGGUUGGGCUGUUCGCCCAUUAAAGUGGUACGCGAGCUGGGUUCAGACCGGCGUGAGCCAGGUCGGUCCCUAUCUGCCGUGGGCGUAGGAAUCUUGAGGGGAUAUUUCCUUAGUACGAGAGGAUUAGGAAGUACUGACCGCUGGUGUACCGGUUGUGCCGCUAGGUGCAGCGCCGGGUAGCUAUGUCGGGAAAGGAUAACCGCUGAAGGCAUCUAAGCGGGAAGCCCACCCCAAGACGAGGAUUCCAUUCCAGCUUCGGCUGGAGGAGAGCCCUGGAAGACCACCAGGUUAAUAGGCCGGAUGUGUAAGACGCGAAAUCGUCUCAGCUAACCGGUACUAACGCUCGAUCACUUGACCAU
rnacentral:rRNA from 1 species